GUGUGACUCAGUGUCAACGGGCAACUUGUUACUUCAAAAUAAAAGCACUGACACAGGAUUGCGCAAGGCAAACUUCUUGUUUCUGUGUGACUGACAUUUAACUAUUGGCUUGACUUUUUGAUGUGCCGACAAACUAGGAGACUACCCGGUGUGGUACAGUGAAUUGGGUGAUGGACUAGGACUCGGGAGACCUGGAUGCAAGUUCUGGCUCUGCCAAGGAAACUCACUGGAGGAGCGGAACUGGCAAAGCCACUCCUGAAAUAACUCACUUCCCUUGAAAACCCUAUUAGGGUUGCUAUAAAUUGGUUCCAAUCCGAGGGCACACAAGAGCAAGAACAAACUAUGACAAAAUCCCAUCUGUGGUGCUGCCUCUAUAGACAGGAUAGGGAAUGUCUGACUUCCACUAAAUCCUCUGUGUAAUAAAGUUAAGCUGAUGUUUGACUUUGCAUUCCUAUCUAUUUACAUGUCGUGCUACAGUUGACAAAACAGUUUAAGCGUCAACUGAAAUAACAUUCAAAGGUGCUAAGUUUCCUAUCUUUCUUUGAUCAUCAGACUAAUCGAAAGAACAUCAGAGGACCUGUUUUGAAAAAGAAAAAAGAAAAAACCCAGAGGAAGUACUUUGAAUUUUAAGAAUUAUCUCUCAUAUCAUUCUCGCAGAGAUUAUCUGACAAAAUCUUACCAAACUGUACCAACCUGUUUCACUAGCGGCCAGCAAACUGAGUGGAGAAUUUUCAAAGGACAUUUUUCUCAUAGUAGGAUUUUCAAGGUAUCAAAUAUUUAGAAAUAAUUUACCAUUUUCUGCACAGUAAUAACAAGAAUUAGCUGUGAAAGAUUUGCUUCCCGGGUCACUUUUCACCACUGCUACUACUGUUGCCCAGUAGCUAACUCUCCAAGAGCUUCUCUGCCCCCAUCACUGCUGGAAGUACAGUAUCCAUUCUCUUCUGAUGAUAUGACUGCUAAUUAUUGAAGAGAGUGGAUGGAUGGGAUAGUCUAUAGUCUCAGCUUUGACCACAAGACAAAAACUUCCUCUGUAGUACUUAGAUUUCAAGGGAAGUCCGGCUGAUUCCAUUGCUGAUGAGCUUUUGUGAAGGAAUUGGCCAAAAGGGGUUGAUC
rnacentral:lncRNA from 1 species